AGACGUCUACAUUAGAUACCCGCGUAGUCCCAGCCGUAAACUAUGCGCGUUAGGUGUAUCGGUGACCACGAGUCACCGAGGUGCCGAAGGGAAACCGUGAAACGUGCCGCCUGGGAAGUACGGUCGCAAAGGCUGAAACUUAAAGGAAUUGCGGGGGAGCACCCACAACAGGUGGAGCCUGCGGUUUAAUUGGACUCAACGCCGGACAACUCACCGGGGACGACAGCAAUAUGUAGGCCAGGCUGAAGACCUUGCCUGAAUCGCUG
rnacentral:rRNA from 1 species